CCAGUCAAAAAAAUAUGUUUGUCGGUUGUUUGAGCUUCACUCUGCAGGAUGAUGUAUGUUUGACACUAGGAGGAUGUUUUUACAUUAAUCUGCUGAACGUGGAAAGUUUCUCUGUGCUAAUUCCCAAUUUCCCAAAUACUCACAGUGUGUUUUGGGGUCAAUUAUAGGCUUUAAUAUGCCAAAUGAAUAUGAUGCUGUCACAGUGCUAUUAUGUAUGAUAUAUUGCUGGAGCUUUUUUGUGCUCAAUUCAGUUCUCUUAUAUUAUAAAAUCUGUGUUUAACUCACUUUUACCAACAUCUUCUCACUUGUCUUUUAGGCUUAAUGAAGGAAAUCAAUAUGAGACGAUGGCUUUUACAUAGAUUUACUUUAUCAGCGAUCCUCCAGAAGAGAGAUGUUAAUCUGAGACGCUGUUUGACACAUUUGGACGCAGCCCAUAAAGAUCAGCUGAGUGAUCCUGAUUCAGGCAACACAUGACCUGUUUUAGAGACAUGUCGCUGUCACAUACCGCCUGUGUUCAACCGGUUAUCCCAGUGUGAUAACGUGAAAGUGCGUGUGAAUUAGGCCCUGAGGAAGUGAGCCGACACAAACAGCUUUGCGGCUCAGGUCCAAGGACACGAGACCACAGACGCUCCAAUGUUCCCCCUCAACACUGAACCAAGUGACCCAGAACCCCACAGAACUCACUCGGCUGGCUGGCUGGAAAACUGGAGGCUGCCAUGAUCAC